ensembl:lncRNA
UUCCCCUGUGACAAACAGAAAACUGCCAUGGUUUCUGAGUUCUUUCUCCAUGGAUGUGGGUCCUGGCUUAUUCCAUCCUUCUUUCAAGGGUCUCCCUGUCACCUACCUCUUCUGGAUUACAUCGCUCACUGGGAUAGAAUUCUCAUUUGCGGAUGUUUUUGUGAGCAUUUUAUGAAUUUCAUCAUGUGUUCCCACUGACUGGUAUCUAUUUCUUAUUUGUCCCUGCAACUUGUCCUUAAGGGCAAGUCUCUAUUUUUCCUUAGUUUGAAUCUCCACUCCCUCUCUCUCCCUACAACCUCCCCGCUUCCCCAAAGCAGAGCCUAAUGCAAAGGCUGGUAAGUAGGUAGGUUAUUGGAAGUGAUCCCAUUAAGCUAGAGCACGGGAUCAGGGAUUGAACAGGACAAGAGUGAGGGAAAGUAUUGUGAUGUAGGAUUGAGCUGUCCCUAUAGAAGAGUGGCACUGACUAUUGAUGGUUUGUUAUUUUUGAUUGAUCUCAGAUCUACUUGCUUCAGAAACAAAAGGAAACAUUUAUCCAUUGGCUUUGCCUCCUGCUGGUUAAGCCUGGCCAUAACGGAGUUAUCUAGGAGAGAUGAAGCCCAAAGGACUUAAACUUAAUUGUGGUGCAUAAGAGAUGUCCAGAAUAAUUAUGUGAACCGAACAGGACCCAGCUCAAUUCCAAGUAUAUGGUGUGUCUAAUCUCACCGAGAAUGGAAGCCGCUUUGCAUUUCUUUAAAAUAUUGAGGUCAUGGAGUUGCGGAUGGUGCUGUCGGGAUAUCACAAAACUUUUUUUAUUCCAGAAAAGUGUGCUCUGAGAGGAUCCUGCUGCAGUGCUUGGGCUGCAUAAAAAUGCCACGAUGAAGGCCUCACAGGGUGAUUCCCCAAAUGGGCUGACUGUCCCAGCCACCAUGGAACUUUCGCAGCAUCCUGGACCCCCAUGGUCUUAAGUUCAAGGCUGGGUUUAGGAAUCGGUAGCUGCUGCCCUGGCCUACAGUGGGCAAGCUCUGCUCUGCUCAGAAUAGAGGGAGCUGAUUAUGGUGUCUGAACAAUUAGCCAGGGCUGAUGAGUCAAACACAUUUUAUGUUUGAAUCAAUAGAUGUUUGUGCCUAUGUCUUUGGAGGUAUUUCUUAGCAACAAUUGGGGACUUAAAACUUGAUAUUUGAAAUCUAGUGUUAGUUUUAGUUCAUAAAGUGAAGAAUUGAAAUUGGAAAACUUAACAAACUCAUUUGACUUAUUCCUAGCAUUGAGAGUUCUCUCUUUCCCCCUUUAACCUUUAUUAUAUAACUCAACAAUUCAUUUACUUUAUAAUGAGACCCCUGUCAAGAUCCUGCAGAUAAUUUCCUUGUUUUACCUUGUUUCUCAGUACGUAUAUAACUUAUUUCUGUAAAGAAUAAUCUCAUUUAUGAGUUUGGUGUGCUGAACAGGUCCCAUCUUCAGACACCUUCAGAAGCAGCUCAUUGUUAUUCUGAUUGUUGCUUAUAAAACAGCAGUCAUCUGUGAUUGAAGAGAUGUGUUCACUGGUCCAUGUAAUUUGCACAUUCAGAUUGUACAGAUUGUUAGCAAAUUCACAGCUAGAAUUCCAUGAUACAUAGCUCCAAUUUAUAUUAUGC